AAAAAAAAAAAAGAAAAAAAAAUUUGGAAUAAAUGUGUUCAGCAAAAGAAAUGUUAUUAUAUGUUUAAAUAAAUUACAGUUAAUUCGAAAUGAACAAAAAAUUUAAUGUAAUUAAAUUAAAGCUAAGUACACAAGUAAAAUUCUAAACAAUUUCAAAUUGUACAUAAACAGCAUAUACAUAUACAGAUACAUUUAGCAUGUAGCAUAUCUAGCAUAUCUAAAACAUAUGCAUAUGCUGCAUCCGAAUUACAAGCUAGCUAAUCGCAGACUAAGCGCAGACUAAAAUAUGAAAAACUUAAACCUUGAACAUACCAAAGACACUCGAGCAUGAGAAACUGAAUGAACAGUGAGAAGAUUAGGAAAACGGAACCCCAUGCUGAUCCAAUCCGAUCCGAACCCACAAUAAAGAAGCGAUAUCAAAGCAAAUAAAUUGAGAAAAGCGUUUUCGAACCGUUUUUUAUUUCGCACAGUCCCCUGUGCCCUCCACCACCCUAAGUUCCCCCUUGUAAAUAGUAAAAUAAAAGAAAACUCGCUAUUCGAAUUAUCCGACUCAUUCCAUACUUGUAUGUACCUAUAUAUUUUCUGGUAUUUGUAUUUUGGCCUUAGAUCCGUAGUUAGUCGAAUCGAAAUGGAAUCGGAAACGAUACCGGAAACCGGAAACCAAAAACCGUAUCCCUUUCGAUCUAGGAUCUAGUCUGAAGCAAAAACGCUAGUUCUGUAUUCUUAGUUCGUAUUGUAAUUGUAUUAGCUGGCGCUCAAAAAACCAAAUGUAAUGAAAAGUUCUAAAUUGUAAAUACGUAUUUGAUUUCGUUUCGUAACGUACGAGUAUCUUGUGUGGGCUCAACCUAAGUUUCGUCUUUGGCAUAUCAAUCACUCCCAGCUGCAGUUGAGUUUUUCGAUCAGUAAUCAGUAAUCAGAUAUCAGUCAAUCAGUCGAUCAAUGCUAACCGAUUAGAUACACCCACAUACAUAUAUACUGCAUACUAGCACAUACACACACACACAAACACUCACGUACAUGAUUUAGGAGCUGAAAGCGCACUUCUUUCGGUUUUCUUAUUACUUUCAUAUGCUUGAACUAUGCUCUACUCAACUCUACGCUCUACUUAAAUCAACUCUAGUCUAGCCUACUUUAAUCCAAAGCGAAAUGCAUUAAACGAAAUCGAAAAACAUUAGGCGAUAUAUUAGUGAAUAGAAUCGCAGGAGAACAAGAACAAGAUGAUGAUAAUGAUGAUGAUGAUGAAGAAGCAAACAUAUCGUUGUAAAGCAAGAACUAAGUUAUGAAUACCACGAAUAACUCAAAAGGAAAAGUCUAACUUAUGAUGCAUAAUUAUUUUCGAAUAUAACACUAACACGCCACAACAAAGAUUCGACUUCUCCAGUUUAAUUCCAACCAAAAACAAUCUUUUCAAGUUUUCCAUUAAAUUUAAUUGCAAACCUAACAAAAAAAAAAUCUUAACACGCAUACGUAAACAAAAAGGAAUAUUUAUAUAAAAAUAAUGAAAACCAUUUUGAUUGUACGGACUAUAAUGAAACAACACACAUUUACCAUAUGCUAUGUACGAGUAAAUCAAAACAUAAACCAACAAAAAGAAACCAAAAAAAAAAAAUAAAUAAAUCUUUCAAAAUCUUCUCAAUGCUUCAAGAACAAACAAAAAGAAAGAAAAUUUCUAUUAAGGACAAAGACUGCAAAUAGAGAUUUAAAAAAAAAACGUACACUUAAAAAGCAAAUGCAAAUGAAAAAACAUUUAAAUUAAUUGAUUUUCAAUUCUAAUUUGGCCUUGAUUCAACCUACCAGGAAAUAAGUUUAGGUUUAGUUAGAAGUUCAAGAGACAACACCGCACACCAGCAUACAAUACAAUACCAUACAAUACCAAACCGGACCGGACCGGACAGAACUGAAUCGAAUCGAACUUUCAAUUUGAAGAACUCCACCCGAACCGCAGUCAUUUAGCAUCAGCAAUAGCAUAAUUUUUGAAUAAUAAUAAUAGCAAUCAUGCAGAACCAAAGAACAAGACCCAGUCACUAAUAAGGAUAUCAAAGCAGAUAAUAACAUACAUACAUACGUACUUAUAAUACAAACUUGAUUCGAACACGAAAAACAGUCGCAAUAAUCUCCAUUGACAAAAAAUCUAGUAUUACGCCCGAUAAGAUAUUACAAAGCAAAAACGAAAACGAAAACCGAAACCGAAACUCACACACAGAAAUUAAACUAAAAGAAACAAAAGAACGCAUAAUGAAAACAAAAGAAAACGAAACAAAACAAAACAAAAAUGGAAAUGUUGUUAAGAUUAAAAAUGAAAUGUUUUAUAAUCGUUAUUCAAUAAAAAUAAAAAAUAAAUCAAUUUCCAAGAAAUCAUUAACCAAUAAACGCAAGCAAUGGCGCAAUUCGAAUUCAUUCGAACAAUUCUAGCUGUAAUCUACCACCAUCUCUAUCGAUAUACCAAUCUAUCGAUCUACCAAUCUAUCGAUUCCUAGGCAAUAACCCAACCAACUUGUCCCAAAAGCCCCAUUUUGAUACAUUUUAGACUAGCUGGUAGUAUUUGCUUUGUGUUCGUACUUCUAACUAAUUAAUUUAUUUUGGGUAGGCCUAUUCGCAAGGGAUGGCAUUAGAUCUAGUUAGUCACUACGUUAUUCCUACAGUUAUCGUAAUUAUCGUAAUCAUAAGCCUUGGCGCUAGUUACCUAGAUCUAAGUCCAGACCCUUCGUUCCGAAGAGGGGGGCUUGGCACCUCCCCCUUUUCUUGUCGAACACGCAGACAGACAACCCCAUACACACAUACCCGAGUCAUUAACCAUUACAACCCACAGUAAAUAUACUAUAUAUACAUAUAUAUAUAUGCCAUGCCAGUAGCACAUUCCAUUGCAGACAUCUCCUAGCGUAGUUUAGAUCUCUUGCCCACCCUCCCCCACAACCUCCCCCCAAAAGAAAUGCAUACACAUAUCUCCGUGAGCACACACUAUAUCGCAGAUAUAGCGAUAAAUCGAGUGAGAAAAGUAACAAGAGUACACUUAAAAAAGAAUACCCACACAACUUACUGAAAAUCUUGGAAAGUUGAAGUCCAAACAGGUUAAAUCCGGCCCCGGCAGUCAAAGCGAUGCUAGUGAUAAUCCAGCGAACGCAUUGACCAUAUUAUUGAUAAUAAUCGUAUAUGGAAUAUUUUGUAAACUUUUGCUUACGUUCUCCCCCCUGCGCCGAAUGUAAAACUGUAAGAAUCGCUUCAGCGCUCAGCCGCCUGCACCUGCUCAGCCGACGCUCCUGCGCUAUCCUGCUAUACCGUAACCGUUAUCGUAGCCGUUACCGUUACCGUUACCGUUAUCGCUAUAUCAUUAACGCUAUCGCAACCAGAAAUGCCAGCAGCAGCAGCA